AGCGAACGCUGGCGGCAGGCCUAACACAUGCAAGUCGAGGGGUAUAGAAAGCUUGCUUUCUAGAGACCGGCAAACGGGUGCGGAACACGUACACAACCUACCUUUAUCAGGGGGAUAACCUUCGGAAACGGAGAUUAAUACCCCAUAGUAUUAUGGAGUGGCAUCAUUUUAUAAUUAAAGAAUUUCGGAUAGAGAUGGGUGUGCGUAAGAUUAGCUAGUUGGUGAGGUAAAGGCUCACCAAGGCAACGAUCUUUAGCUGAUGUGAGAGCAUGAUCAGCCACACGGGCACUGAGACACGGGCCCGACUCCUACGGGAGGCAGCAGUGAGGAAUAUUGGUCAAUGGACGGAAGUCUGAACCAGCCAUGCCGCGUGAAGGAUGAAGGCGUUCUGCGUUGUAAACUUCUUUUAUUUAGGAAGAAACCACUUUUUUUUAAGAGUGUUGACGGUAUUAAAUGAAUAAGCACCGGCUAACUCCGUGCCAGCAGCCGCCGUAAAAC
rnacentral:rRNA from 1 species